ensembl:lncRNA
AAACAGGGUGGAUUACAUAACUGUAUUUAAAAGGGAGUGAAUUAAAGACCUGUAGUGGGCCUGUUCUGUGUAUUGCCUGUCAGAACUCAGCACAACUUUGGAGCAGUUCCUUCUCGAUUUUGGAUAGUAAGAAAAAGUAAAGAAAUUAAGCUUAAGAAAAUUAUGUGGCAGCUCACACAAAGGUAUGUUUUCUCUGCAGUAUGCAUGUCUGGUGCACUUCAGGGUCUCUUUCAGCAUAAACUGCAGUGUUCUUUAAUCUUCUAGGGAGCUGCUACACAACUUCUCAUUGCUCACGAGGUAUGUUUGCACUCCUGAGAAUGCUCCUGCCAAUGUCACUGAAGGCCAUAUAAGCCUGCAAACAAAAAAACCUCAACUGUAUCGAGUCCUGCCCUAUUAAAGGGUAAAAAUACCACCAGACAGCAGUAAGAAAUUAAGAAUGCUGGUAAGACAUUCAGUGGGCCAUUCAGUGGGACAAAGUAAGACAUUCAGUGGAAUUGAAGCACAGUCCUUUGGACAGCAAGAUGUCCCCAAGCACCACUUGAGUUCUUGUUGCCUGGUGAGCUUGUGGCUACUGCUUCUGCUGUCCUGGAACCCUUCUUGUCUCUAUAACAGUUUUUCUGUUCUCAGCCUCACACUGUAACUGCAUUGCAUUGUGGUCAGAGUGUAACUCGGUGCCAUCUUUUGCAGCAGUGUCAUAAGUUGUUGGCCUUUUGGCUUAGAGAACUGAAGUGGAAAUGUGUUAGAAAGCAAUACUUAGAUGUACUGGAAAACAGUGCUUGUGGUCAUUCCUUCUGAAUGAGGCUAGGGGAGAAAGGUACAUCUAGAAGGCAGCUUGUGCUCUCAGCACCCCAAAACUGACCUUACUCCAGAAGAAUUGUCAAAAAUGUGUAUCUCUACUUUUGGGACUUACAAUAGCCUCAGGAUAAACAUACUGUGCUUAUCAUAUACCUCUCUUUUAAAUGAUUUAUGUCUUCCCU